rnacentral:rRNA from 1 species
UACGUAGGGGGCAAGCGUUAUCCGGAAUUAUUGGGCGUAAAGAGUACGUAGGUGGCAACCUAAGCGCAGGGUUUAAGGCAAUGGCUCAACCAUUGUUCGCCCUGCGAACUGGGAUGCUUGAGUGCAGGAGAGGAAAGCGGAAUUCCUAGUGUAGCGGUGAAAUGCGUAGAUAUUAGGAGGAACACCAGUGGCGAAGGCGGCUUUCCGGACUGUAACUGACACUGAGGUACGAAAGCGUGGGGAGCAAACAGG